ACAGUCAGGUAACGAGCGAGACCCACGCCAACAGUUGCCAGCUCGUCCUCCGGGAUGGUGGGGACGCUGUUGGGACCGCCUCUGCUAAAGAGGAGGAAGGAAUGGGCAACGGUAGGUCAGCAUGCCCCGAAUUAUCUGGGCUACACGCGGGCUACAAUGGGUGGGACAAUGGGUAUCGACACCGAAAGGUGAAGGCAAUCUCCUAAACCCAUCCUUAGUUCGGAUUGCGGGUUGCAACUCACCACAUGAAGCUGGAAUCCGUAGUAAUCGUGUCUCAAAAUGGCACGGUGAAUAAGUCCCUGCUCCUUGCACGAAUUCGCCG
rnacentral:rRNA from 1 species